AAAGUCGUAACAAGGUCUCCGUUGGUGAACCAGCGGAGGGAUCAUUACAGAGUUAUCCAACUCACCAAAACCAUGUGAACUUACCUACGUUGCCUCGGCGGGGAAACCUACCCGGGAGCUACCCUAUAGUAGCCUACCCGGUACCUACCCGGUAGCUACCCUGUAGUUGUAGGCUUACCCGCCGGCGGACCAUCCAAACUCUUGUUUUUAUCUCGGCACUUCUGAAUUAUCAUAAAUUAAGUUAAAACUUUCAACAACGGAUCUCUUGGUUCUG
rnacentral:misc_RNA from 1 species